rnacentral:sRNA from 1 species
GCAUCUCUUCAGUCAGGUGCUCACAACACUCUCCCCUUACAGACAUGCUGAAGGACAUCAUCAAAGAAUACACUGAUGUGUACCCUGAAAUCAUUGAACGAGCAGGCUAUUCCUUGGAGAAGGUAUUUGGGAUUCAAUUGAAGGAAAUUGAUAAGAAUGACCACUUGUACAUUCUUCUCAGCACCUUAGAGCCCACUGAUGCAGGCAUACUGGGAACGACUAAGGACUCACCCAAGCUGGGUCUGCUCAUGGUGCUUCUUAGCAUCAUCUUCAUGAAUGGAAAUCGGUCCAGUGAGGCUGUCAUCUGGGAGGUGCUGCGCAAGUUGGGGCUGCGCCCUGGG